GACGAACGCUGGCGGCGUGCUUAACACAUGCAAGUCGAACGGAAAGGCCCUGCUUUUGUGGUGUGCUCGAGUGGCGAACGGGUGAGUAACACGUGAGUAACCUGCCCUUGACUUUGGGAUAACUUCAGGAAACUGGGGCUAAUACCGGAUAGGAGCUCCGGCUGCAUGGUGGGGGUUGGAAAGUUUCGGCGGUUGGGGAUGGACUCGCGGCUUAUCAGCUUGUUGGUGGGGUAGUGGCUUACCAAGGCUUUGACGGGUAGCCGGCCUGAGGGGGUGACCGGCCACAUGGGGACUGAGAGACGGCCCAGACUCCUACGGGAGGCAGCAGUGGGGAAUAUUGCACAAUGGGCGGAAGCCUGAUGCAGCAACGCCGCGUGCGGGAUGACGGCCUUCGGGUUGUAACCCGCUUUCGCCUGUGACGAAGCGUGAGUGACGGUAAUGGGUAAAGAAGCACCGGCUAACUACGUG
rnacentral:rRNA from 1 species